AGCUUAUUGUGACAUUGAUAGCCCUUGCAAGGGUUUGCAAGUAAGUUCAUCUGUAGUUUAAAAUUUUGACACACUCAUUAAAAAGGGUUAUUUAAUAAUAUUAAUAUUGAAGUAUAUUUGACUAAAUUACCCUUACAUUUUCCUUAAAACAAGUGAUUAAUAAUUAAGAUAAGUGAGACUUGCUUAGUUGGUAAAGUACCUUUACCCGCGAGCGUCAGGUCCUGGGUUCGAGUCACGCUGGAGGAAAAGUGUGGAAACACUACAAAAAGUAGCCUAGUGCACUAAGCUCCCGCUAUCCGCGGGGUCCGGGGAAGUGUCUGACCACAAAGGGCUUAUUGUACGCAGCCUUGCCCUUUAUUUCUGCAAGAGACUGUUUCCACGGGUAGAACUAUGUGAUCUCCUGAUCACAAGGUAUCAACUUUACCAAAUGACCUCCAACUAUAGAUCCUCCUAAAUUGGGAGGGAAAAAGUGAUUAAUAAUUGUACGUUUCUUUUCUUUUUCAAAUUAUUUUUCUAUAUAUGUAUGUAAUGAUGCAUUAUGUUAAUUAAUUUCAGGUGAUUAAGCUGUCCAGGGAGGAAGAGUAAAAAUAAAGAAACUUGAUAUUUAAUUCCAGAUCUUGUAUCAGAUGAUUUGCUGUUAAUAUUUCUGUUGAAUAGUCUUUAAACUAUGGUUUAGUCUACCAUGUUUUAAGACAUUGUAAUUUCUAGGGGUAAACUUGUAAUUUUCUGUUUCAAGCAAUAGUUUGGCAUAUCUGUCAAAUUCUUAGCAAUAAUUUUCUGUUUCAAGCUAUGUUCUUGUACUCAUUUCGCAGCCCAAUGUUCUCUACUUUUCUGUAUUAUCUUCUUUAUUUUUUGAUUUCUCUAAUUUCUUAUUUCAAGAUAAAAUUAACGACAAUUUGUUAGAAUAAGAAAGAUAGGUUACAAAUC
rnacentral:lncRNA from 1 species